rnacentral:rRNA from 1 species
GACGAACGCUGGCGGCGUGCUUAACACAUGCAAGUCGAACGUGAACCUUUUCUUCGGAGAAGGGGAAAGUGGCGAACGGGUGAGUAACGCGUAGACAACCUGCCCUCCGGUGGGGGAUAGCCCCGGGAAACUGGGAUUAAUACCGCAUGACGCACCUGGGCCGCAUGGUACCGGGUGUUAAAGAUUUAUCGCCGGUAGGAUGGGUCUGCGUGACAUUAGGUAGUUGGUGGGGUAACGGCCCACCAAGCCAACGAUGUCUAGCUGGUCUGAGAGGAUGACCAGCCACACUGGGACUGAGAUACGGCCCAGACUCCUACGGGAGGCAGCAGUGAGGAAUAUUGGACAAUGGGGGAAACCCUGAUCCAGCAACGCCGCGUGAAUGAUGACGCUGUUACGCAGUGUAAAGUUCUGUAAGGAGGGAAGAACCGCCGGGUAUUGCCCGGUCUGACGGUACCUCCUAAGUAAGCACCGGCUAACUCCGUGCCAGCAGCCGCGGUAAAGUCUGUAC